CCUACGGGCGGCAGCAGUGAGGAAUAUUGGUCAAUGGACGGAAGUCUGAACCAGCCAUGCCGCGUGCAGGAAGACGGCUCUAUGAGUUGUAAACUGCUUUUGUACAAGGGUAAACCUCAAUACGUGUAUUCGGCUGAAAGUAUUGUACGAAUAAGGAUCGGCUAACUCCGUGCCAGCAGCCGCGGUAAUACGGAGGAUCCAAGCGUUAUCCGGAUUUAUUGGGUUUAAAGGGUGCGUAGGCGGAUUGAUAAGUUAGAGGUGAAAUGUCCGAGCUUAACUCGGGAACUGCCUCUAAUACUGUUGAUCUAGAGAGUAGGUGCGGUAGGCGGAAUGUAUGGUGUAGCGGUGAAAUGCUUAGAGAUCAUACAGAACACCGAUUGCGAAGGCAGCUUACCAAUCUAUAUCUGACGUUGAGGCACGAAAGCGUGGGGAGCAAACAGGAUUAGAUACCCCUGUAGUC
rnacentral:rRNA from 1 species